AUAUAAUUAGAUUUGAAUGUCAUGAACUUACAAUUCUAGCAAAAGCUAUUAGUUAGAACAAAAUCAAUUAUCAAAUUAAUUGACAGUCUUAUAAAUAAAAUUAUAAAUUUACUGGUAGAUAGCCAAUUAUUUGACUAAUACUUGUCUUUAAAAAGGAAAAUUGGUUGAGCCAUCUUUGGGGGGGCAGUUACUUUCUUUCUUGAAGAAACAUUUUCCAGAAGUGUCAGAUUUAAUAUAUUUUCAAUUAAAAAUUGUCUUGAAUGGCUUCUUUUGAUAAUUACAUCUGUAUUUACAAAAAAUUAAAUAACAUCAAUGAGAAUUAGAUCUUAUAUUAGGACUAAAAUUACAACACAAUAAUGAAAAAGAACAACAUAUUUAAAGAACUAAAUGAUCAAUUGCAUGAAACGGCAUCUCAGCUAUGUAAUAGUAGAAUCCAAUGAUGAUAGAUAAUUAAUAUUUACCAAUAAUUUAAUAUUUUUAAAAACCUAAAAUUGAACAAAAGUACUAUUAAAACUAUUAGUUUUUCACUAAAACUUUUACUGAAAUGCAAGUAGCAGUUUAUAUUCAAAUUCAGCUUAUGUUCGCAACCCAUUGAUGUAAGUCUGCAUCAUGUGAAGAUCACAUGAUGCAAAAUUGUGUCAACUGAUGGCAAGUGUGUUAACCACCAUUUGGUUACUUAAUUAUGGUAGUGUACUAGCAAUCAGAGUAGUCUGGCCAGAUGUUUUUUAAUAAAAUGUAAAAUCAAAAGAAAAAUCAGUGUAAAUCAAAGGCUUACGAAUAAAAGGAAGAAUUGGCAUGUAUAUAAUCCAAUAAUAAUAAUGUGACAGUUUCAGUGUGCUAAACUAAUUUUGCUGUUUUAUUUCCACAGAAAAAUUAUAUGAAAUAGUAAGGAAUACAGCAGCUUUACUGUAAGAUUAUAACAAGAUCAGCUAAUUCUUAGCAUGGCAUUGACCUUUAUAAAACAAAAACAGACAUGCUGUGAUGUUCAAAUCAUAUCAUUUUGAUUAUUACUAUGGCAGAAACUGUUGCUUUAAUUACUAAAAUUAAUUGAAAAUUUUAGUAUGAAUGUAAAAAUAUUACAAAUAAAUUUUUAAUAAUAUUUUCUUUCUCUAUUAAAUUAACUUCUUAUCAUUUAGGACAGAACAUACUAAUACAUAAAGGUAGAAAUAUUCAUAUUGGUAACAGUUACAACUUUACACAAGUUCGCACAGCAGUAUCAAACAUUAAUAUUAAGAAAAAUAAAAAUCCUCCAUCAGAAUCUGCUCCUCAGUUUACUGAAAGUACGAAGAGAAAAUUACCAGAUGAAAUAAAAGAUUCAGUUCGUGAAAUAGAUCCCGAAGCCAUGCAUUUUGUUGCUGAACAUAUAGCUAGUGACUGGAAGAAA